UGAGUGGCGGACGGGUGAGUAACGCGUGGGCAACCUGGCCUGUACAGGGGGAUAACACUUAGAAAUAGGUGCUAAUACCGCAUAACGGGGGAAGCCGCAUGGCUUUUCCCUGAAAACUCCGGUGGUACAGGAUGGGCCCGCGUCUGAUUAGCCAGUUGGCAGGGUAACGGCCUACCAAAGCGACGAUCAGUAGCCGGACUGAGAGGUUGGCCGGCCACAUUGGGACUGAGACACGGCCCAGACUCCUACGGAAGGCAGCAG
rnacentral:rRNA from 1 species